rnacentral:rRNA from 1 species
AUGGCAGAUCAAGCGAUCACAGCGAUGUCCGCUGAGGCGAAGCGAGCGGAAUUCGAGUCUGGCACGGCGGCCAACCCAGGGAACGGCGAGCUGUGGCGCCGCUUCGUCAGGUUCGAGCGGGAGGAGGGCGGCGGAAUCGAGGCCGCCCGCGCCGUCUACGAGCGACUUCUCGCCGCACUUCCCGAUGGAGAGACAUACAUGUGGGACUGGUUCUGGAGGGAGCGCGAGUUCGGCGACGUCGACAGCCAGCGGCGCGCGCUCCAGCGGUGGGCACAGGCCCAGGGCGGCGGCUUCCUCAGGUCCAAGUCAGGCUGGAGUACUUACUUGAAGUUUGAGAUCAACAACGGCGACAAGGUGGAGCGCGUCCGGGCCGUCGGCGAGGCACUCCUCGUGAACUUUCCCAUGGAUCCGCAUGCGUACGCGAUCUACAUCAGGGCUCUGGCCGCUCUGGCCCGGCACGUUGAAGCCCAAGCCCUGGCACGUCGUGGCGUCAAGGAGCUGUCCGCCUUCUGUCGCGGGCAUGAUGAGUUCAUUUGGAGGUUUAUGGCCGUGUAUCUGAAGAGGCUCAGGGAGAGGCGGAGCACCGCGUGGGACGAAAAUAUGUUCAACGAUUAG